GAACACAUGCAUAAUGGGAAUUGUUAAUAAACCAUCAAACUAUAAGUUGAGGCUUAACUUGUAAACUCACAUAAGAGGUUGAAAUAGUUACAAUGUGACUUAGGGGGUGUUUGUUUGGCAGGAAAACAUUUUCUGAUUUUCUGGUGUUUGUUUAACUGAAAAGCUUUCACAUGGGGAAAAUGUUUUCACACUUACGGGUAAAAUGCCUAAGGUUUUAGGGAAAAUGUCUUACCCAAUUUUUUUUCGUAUGACAUUUUCCAACUUUCCAAUCUUCCCCCCUUGCGUCGUUUUUCAUUUUCCUUCUUCUCUAUCUAGGUACGUUCCUCCUACUUCUUCUAUUAUUAUUCAUUUUUUUAAUUUCCUUUUUUCCUAGCUUUUCACAUAUCUUCUCUUCUCAAGCUGCUGUUUCGUUUCGCUUUGUGAUUCCAACUCUCAGCAAUCUUUCCUAGCCAAUCGUUCUUCAUCUUCCUUCUUCUUCAUCCAGGUAACUCUGCUUCCUUCUACUUCCUCUAUUUACUGUUUGCUGCAAUUUGUUGUUUGCUGCAAUUCUAUUAAUAAUUGAAACUAGGGCAUUCCUUCUUACCAAAAACAAAAACCCCUUUAUAAGUAUUUUUAGUUAAGUUUUAAGAUUCGGUAAAAAAUUAAAUUUUUUUUUAAAAAUAAAUUAUCUCUGCUUCCUCAUGCAUCCAUGGUUGAUGAUGAAAGAGAAAAAAAACUGCUAUUUUUUUUAGCUAACCCCUACUGAAAAAAGAGAAAAAAAAGUAAAAAUUUAUGAAAAGACUGUUAUUCUUUUUAAUGCAUCCAUGGUUGAAGAUGAAAUACCUCUAUGAACAAUUCAAUGACGUUGUUAAACUAAUGAAAUACUCUUCACUACAUGGAAUUGUAAGACCACCCAUUGGAUGAUUAAAUCCAAAUUCUUCCUCCGCUUUAUUUAAAAGGUCUUGAAACAAUGGAUGAUUCAAAUAAGCUAUAGGAAUCACAAAUCUUUUCUUGUUGCUUUCCCCAACAUAAACUGCAAUUUGGUUCUGCUUUGUCUGUUGUUAGGCAUUGCUGGCCUACAAGAACUUAGGAGGGAAAAAAAAGCAAUAAAAAUUGGAGGCUACAAGUUGUAAAGAUUUAUAAUAUAUAUAUAUUUCCCAAUGUUUUGAACUUAGAAAGCACUGACUUUUACAAUGGUAGGCAUGUUCUUGAUAUAUACAUAUAUAUAUAAACUUCUCUGGGUUUUGGGUGCCAUGAACUUUUUUACCUUUAAUUCUCAUUCUUAGCUUUGGGUUGGUUCUUAUUUCUCGUUGAAACACUAUGAAAUUUACUGGUCUUUGCCCGAGUUUUAACCAAACAUAAUGAAACCAGAAGCAGAAUAGCUUUUCUCUUUCUGUUGAUUGAAAUGAAAUAGCAGCAUAUUUUUCAACAUUUAAAUGAAGGACUAGUGAUUUUCUUGACAUAUAUACAUUAGUUAGAUAGAUUUUAGUUUUAGCAUAGCAGUUUUGGUUUUGUUGUUUGCUGCAAUUUGGUUUAGUCUUUUAAUGCCGAAUAGCUGUUUGCUGCAAUUUGCUGUUUGCUGCAAUUCUAUUAAUUAGUUGUAAGUUUAUUUGUAACCGCUUCAUAUUAGACAUGCCGAAUAGCUUGUGGCUUUCUGUUCAUGUUGGAAAUAAAUUUUAGUUUCGAAAAUGAGUUUUUUUGCCAUUAACAUUGUCCACCUCGAUUAUUUAAGGAAUCGAAACUGGGGUUUAGUCCUACUCUUUAAUUUAACUAUCAGAGUAUUGCUUUUCAGUUUACUUCAUUUGUUGUCUUGAAUUUCUUGAUAUGGAAUUGUAGCUAGAAAACUAAAUUGACUUGGUAGCUUGUUUCUUAGGCUCCGUUUGUUUUUGGCAAUCGAUAAUAGAUGUUGCUUUUGUUUUUAUAUGAUUGAAUUCUACUACUCUGUUGAUCAUAACAUGCAAAAAUUUGUAGCUUGUGCUUGUUGUUUUGUUCAAUUUUUGUUGCUUUCUAUUUGUAGGGUUAAUAACAUGUGAAAUUUCUUUGAAAACACACAAUAGUUAAGGGAAGGAGCAAUGUGAUGUUGAGGUUAUCGACCGACAUGCUAGAUGUGGUUCACAUGUAUAAAUUUGGUGCAUAGGUAGCACGAAGUUGGCAUAUAGACAAAGAGUUGUUAUUUUGUUGUAUGAUUUAUUUAUUUAUUUCAUAAACCAUGAAAUAAUUCAAUGAGUUGUUAUCUAAAAAUCAACCAAAAACAGCUAAUUUGAGUGUUGGAAAUUGUAAAUGUAAGAUCCAGCAAAAAUACCAUAUUAAAUUAAUUAUAGACAUAUAUGUAUCAAGACUUGUACUAUAAAUUGUUUGUUGUAAUCCUAGUUUGUUCUUAAAAGAAGAAUCCAAAGCAGCUUCCUUCUGUUUUGGCCCUAUGACAGAUACAAAUUUUUUUUCCUUCUUGUUUUUGCCAGUUGUAUAUAACACCAAUAUUAUUAUUUUCAUGAAAAAUUCUAAUAUAAUGAUGUG
rnacentral:lncRNA from 1 species